rnacentral:rRNA from 1 species
AUUGAACGCUGGCGGCAGGCUUAAUACAUGCAAGCCGAGCGGGGGAAGGUAGCUUGCUACCGGACCUAGCGGCGGACGGGUGAGUAAUGCUUAGGAAUCUGCCUAUUAGUGGGGGACAACAUCUCGAAAGGGAUGCUAAUACCGCAUACGUCCUACGGGAGAAAGCAGGGGAUCUUCGGACCUUGCGCUAAUAGAUGAGCCUAAGUCGGAUUAGCUAGUUGGUGGGGUAAAGGCCUACCAAGGCGACGAUCUGUAGCGGGUCUGAGAGGAUGAUCCGCCACACUGGGACUGAGACACGGCCCAGACUCCUACGGGAGGCAGCAGUGGGGAAUAUUGGACAAUGGGGGGAACCCUGAUCCAGCCAUGCCGCGUGUGUGAAGAAGGCCUUAUGGUUGUAAAGCACUUUAAGCGAGGAGGAGGCUACUCUAGUUAAUACCUAGGGAUAGUGGACGUUACUCGCAGAAUAAGCACCGGCUAACUCUGUGCCAGCCGCCGCCGUAA